GCCUGCGGGAUAGCUUGGUCAGUAGCGCACGAGAUGCUUAAUCUUGAGGUUGUGGGUUCGAGCCUCACGUUAGGCA